UAUGGUGGCGAUAGCGAAGAGGUCACACCCGUUCCCAUACCGAACACGGAAGUUAAGCUCUUCAGCGCCGAUGGUAGUCGGGGGUUUCCCCCUGUGAGAGUAGGACGCCGCCAAGC
rnacentral:rRNA from 1 species